UUCUCAGUUUCUCCCUCUCUGUCUAUCUCCAUAUUUUCAAGGUUAGGGUAUGCUCUUGCUCAAACCAGAUAUCCUCUCUCUCAAUCUUGAUUUUUUUUUGUAGGGCAUCUUUUGAAGUUUCUCCAUCUCUCUGUAUGGGAUUUUUUUAGGGAUCAUUAUCAGCUUCACACUGAAACCUGAUAUCCUCUCUCUCAAUGUCAAUUUUCUUUUGUAGGGCAUCUUUUGAAAUUUCUCCAUCUCUUUCUGUGUUUUUUUAGGGAUCUCUAUCAGUUUUCCACUCAAACCAGAUAUAUCCUCUCUCUCAAUCUCAAUUUUUUUGGGUUUUUAUUAGUGGGUAAAUUAAUUCAUAAUUUGGGGUCCAUUGUUUGUGAUUCUCGCUUAUUAUGCCUUGAAUGUGAAAGAGAACGAUCUGCCAAUUUCUGGAUUAACUGGGGUAUUUAUAUGUUCUUUAAAACUGUGACCUACAACAGAGCUCUAAAUUCUUGCCUUUUUCUAAUUGAUUCAUUUCCUGGAACAAAGAAAUAGAUUACCUAAACGCAAUAAUGUCAUUUUCCCUAAAUAUCGAUGACUGUGGCACCAACACUUUUUCGGAAGAGUGUGAUGCCGAUUCUAUGAUGCAAGAUACUAGCAACUUGGAUGGGGGACAAGAUUUAUUGUCUGUAGAUGAAGGGGCAGCACUCGCAAGAGGUGUGCACAUGUAAGUGGCAGCUUGUGGGGUUUGGCAUAAAAAAAGGAGCUACAUUUUAGAAAUACGGUGCAAAUAUUAUAUAUAAAUUUGUGAAAUUUUUUUAUAGAACUUAGAAAUUGUCUUUCUGGUUUAGAAAUGGAGUUUAAGUUGGUAUUUUCAGUCAUAACUGCUAAGUUACUCAAUUGUAAUUUGAAUAAAAAAAUAGUUAACUCAAUUGAAAUGCUCCAGUAUCUAUUUUUUAGCGUUCUACAUUCUUUUUUUGGAUGAAUAUGGAUGGAGCCACAUCAUGAUUUUUUUCUAUAUCAUACGUGAUUUAUGACCAAUUAUUGCUUUGUUGAUGAACCAAACAACCUUAAAUGAACCUUUGUCUUGGUUGCUGCUCAAAGGUGACCCUAAUGAAGCCAGGAUGAGGCCUGUUAUUAGAAAUCAUGAAGGAAAAAUUUGUUGACGUUCUUAGCUUUGUUGGAUAUUGCAAUGUAAUCAAGGUGGAGGCUCGUGUGACGUUCUUAGUAACGAAUUUUUAUAAUUUAACCAAAACAAUUAUGAUGUUGAUUUAUGAAAUUCAUUGGUCAUGUAAGAGGAGAUUCAUGUAGAAUUUUUAAAAUUCAGCAAAGGCUCUUUGAGAA